rnacentral:tRNA from 1 species
AUCCGCCUAGUAUACUAGUACAAGUGACUUCCAAUCACUAAGAUUUAGACAUCAACUAAAGACGGAUA